rnacentral:misc_RNA from 1 species
CAGCAAUACGGGAAUACAUACAGAUCAGCUGCCUGUAGGACGUCGUACAUCCUCUCCUCAACGUUGUCUCUCGCCGUCUCUCUCUUUCUCCACGUGUGUGUGGGUGCGUGCGUGUCUCUCGGCGGCUUUCUUUUACUAGUACAGCCGCCCUCCUCCUCCCCCCUCCAAUCACCCGUGCAGGUGGACUGGUGCUUCUGCCGUCGAACGCAAUAGAUACUCAGGCGCUUCAAACAUCGCUGUCUCUUCCUCGCACACCUCUUCCUUGCUCCUCUUCCCCUUUCUCUGGCGGCCACUCAGUCACACACAUACACGCGUGCGCGGUGGACAUCAUCUUCCGCAGUGAGCGCUGCCCGGCCCUUCUUCUUUCUCCCCCUCUUCCUCUUCUUUGUGGGCAACGACUGUUGCUGCUGCUGCUGCUGCUUUGAUUUGCACCCUCCCGGCUCCCUCGCGUCUACUUUUCUUCCUCCUUCUAUUACUGUUUCGUUCGCCUGGUUGUCGUCACGUUUUCAUCCUGAGUUACCCUACCCCUCCUCUUCUCCUUUCCUGUCCUUUCCUCUCUCUCGCUGUCUGUUUUCUUAAAGUGGGCACACGUACACACAUACACCUUGACAUACACCUUGACAUACACACACACACACACACACACACACACACACACACACACACACACACACACACACACACACACACACACACACACAUUGACAGCCGCACAAAAGAGCACGCGCCCGUGUUGCCACCAACGCCUUCGUUUUCGUUCGGUUCAUUCUCCUUUUGUUUCCCCGCUGUGCGCGGGGUUGUGUUCUCCGGCUCUGCCAUUGCGUUUUCGCUUUUGAACUUCUUUUGCGCGCGCGCUCGUUGCCACCUCGCCUGAUUCCUGCGUGUCUGUCUUGUUCUCUUUCCUCUUUACGGUCAUUUUCCCUGAGUGCAUGUACAGCUAUCAGUACCUUGUCUCCCCUCCCCUACCCCUUGUCUCUUUCGCUUGCUUUCUUGUCUCUCUCAUUCAUUUUCCUCAUACCCCUUGUGCCUUUUCUUUUCGUUUCACUCUCGCGCACGCUUGCCCACACCACGCACACACACACACACACACACACACACACACACACACGCACACAAGAAACACGAUCGACACCAUCUUGCACCCGCCGACGCACUCAUCCCACUUCACGCGGUGAACAGAGGACAACAGAAGGCAAAACGUUGCCGUUCAUGUGAUUGGUGAAUACUGUGGAGUUCUCCAGUGCUUCUCUGCACCUUUUCUUUUUCUUUUUCUGGGUCUGCCGCUGCUCUCUCUCUCUCUUGCGUUCUUCUCGUGCGCUCAGCAGUGACCCUCUCUUGCGAGUUUCGACGCGCCGGCCCUUCGUGCAUCGCCGCUUGUGAGUGUCGCGGUGCUGCUCUCUCUCUGUUUCAUCUCCCCCUUUUUCCGUUGCUGUGAAUCGCUGCUGUGGACUACGUGCUGCCUUCUCUCUUUGCGUGCCGCAGUACCUGCUUCGACCUCACCUCUUGCCUCUCGUGACACUCUUGGCCGUCCACCCGGCGCCCUUCCCUCCCCCCUCCUCUACGGGCGCGCUCUCUCGCUCUCUGGCUUGUGCUUGCUCGUUGGCUGCAGCGGUGUGCGUGCGUGUGUGGCGGCGAAAUGGACAAGUACCAAAGGGUGAAGGUCCUCGGGAAGGGCAGCUUUGGCAGCGCCAUCCUCAUCAAGCGCAAGACGGAUGGGCUCCUGUUCGUGGUAAAGGAGGUGGGGAUGACGAGGAUGAGCAAGAAAGAGCGAGACGAGGCGCGGCACGAGUGUACCGUGUUGCAGCAGCUGCAACACCCCAACAUUGUCCGCUACGUCGAACAGUUUGAGAAUAACAACAACCUUUACAUUGUCAUGGAAUACUGCGACGGUGGAGACUUGGCGGAGAAGGUGAAGCACAGCCGCGGCCCUAUGAAGGAGUCGAGCAUGCUGUACUACUUCUCGCAAAUCUGCCUCGCGAUAGAGUACCUGCACGCUCGCCACAUCCUGCACCGCGACAUCAAAACCAUGAACGUCUUCCUCAUGAAAAACGGCGCGGUGAAGCUCGGCGACUUUGGCAUAUCGACGGUGCUGCGCACAACGAUGGGCAUGGCGAACACGGUGUGCGGGACCCCCUACUACUUCUCCCCGGAGCUGUGCCGCAACCGGCCGUACAAUAACAAGAGCGACAUCUGGGCUCUCGGCGUGCUGCUGUACGAGUGUGCCACCGGUGGGCGCCACCCAUUCGACGGCACCAGCAUGAAUCAGCUCAUGCAGCGCAUUGUGCAGGGCCACUACGCGCCCCUCUCCAGCCAGUACUCCUCGGACUUCCGCAAGAUGGUUGACUGGUGUCUCCAGAAGGACCCAGCUAAGCGGCCCAGCAUCAAGCAGACACUCGCCCUGCCGCUGAUGCGCCGCUCUCUUGAGCAGCUAGAGGAGAACUUAAUGCUCGCCACCCAGUGCAGGGUGCGCUUAAAGGACAUCAUCGACUUCGAAGGCGGCAUGGAUCAGGAGGAGCGCAAGGGCAGCUCUCCGCAGCCCUCUCCGAAGCUCUCCCCUCGCGCAGUCGCCAAGGACGGGGUAUCACCUGGGCAGGCGGCUGCUCUCGCGAUGGCGCGUCAAAAUUUAUCCCCAGUAUUCCAGCCACCGACGACGCCAUCGCAUUCGCCGAUUGCCUCCCCCGAACGCGGCGGUGGCGCGCCAGCGGCGGUGGGGCCAAAGCCGUCCGCUGCCGUCCCGCAAAGCCCCACGGCGAGUCCAAAGCAAGGCAACGAAGCUCACCGCUUCUACAGUCCCUGCCAGAAGAGACCCAUCGCCAAUCCUCUGCUGCCGGGCGGUGGCGCCAGACCCGCUCCAGCCGAAUCCCCGAGCGGUGCUGUCCCCCCGCCCCUCGCCCAGCGACCUCUUGAGGAGCCGCAUCACACACCUCCGCUGCGCAUCAAAGUUACCCUCGGCGGUGCUGGGGAUCGGCGUGGUCUUGCCGCUGCAGCAUUGCCAGCAGCGGCAGCGGCACCGGCCCCUGGGCCCUCUCCCAAUGCAGCGGAUGCAUUUCACGCUGAUAUGCGCCGUGUGGACGCCAUCAUAGCCCGGUACGGCCGCAACUCGGACGAGAAGGCAAAAGAGACGAUCCACGCGUACAUGCGUCGCAAGCACGAGGCGUACCUGAAGCGGCAGAAGGAAGAAAUCGAGGCCCGUGAGCGACGCAACAGGAUGCGCAAAGAAGAACUGCGCCGCGUUCUGGAGAAUCAGCGGAUGGCUGUUUCUCCUCUCCGCAACAACGACCCCCGCAACAGCCCGCAUCUGAACAACAUCAACAUGAACGGGUACCCUGAUGAUCGCUCGCCGCGCAGAGGCAGUCCACAGCCCCGCGCCAAGCCGGAGAACGUUCACCUGCCCUCCCGCUCCCCGCCGUCAUCGCCACUACAGGAUAAAGAGCCCGUCUCGGCCCGCACACCGACCAACGCAGAACCAGCCGUCUUUGGCCGUGACCCGCGUCGCGGCGCCCCUCCUGGAGAGCCUGCAAGCCGCCCCACGACACCGCAGCAGCAGCGCGUGCUACAACAGCCGCCUAGUCCAGCGGCAGCCGCUCCGAACGGAAAUCCCCUGCCGCAGACGCCGCCGCGCAGAGUCUUGUACGCGGCGAACUCGCCACAACAGGCGCACCCUCCCUCUCAAAACCGCACCGAGGCACCGGAGGCACGCCGCGCCGUCACUCCUGACCCACUGCACUCGCCGCCGUCGCGACUCGGCGCCCCGCGUGGCGCCGCCUUCGACAUCGACCGGCGAUCUUUGCCCAAUUCAAAGCCGGAGGCAGCCAGUGGAGGCCAAAAGGCGCCGCUCACUGCCGGCCUUGGCGGUGGCAUUGACGGCCACCGGAUGGUGCUGCAGACGAGCCAACAGCAUCUGCCGCAGCCCCGUCGUCCCAUGGACGCGGAGCAGCUGCCUGCACGUCGCGACAGGCGUGAGUCUCGUGUGCUUGAAGAUGCCGCGGUGGGGCGCCGCCCCUCCGCCCUCUCCCCCAUUUCUGGCGACCCUCAUGACCACUGCUCACCCCGCCAGGCUGCGGCUGCUGCGCCAGAGCGCGCCUCCCUGAGCGCUGGCGACCCCCGCCUUCAACGACCGGGCCGUGCGCUGCAGCGGUAUUUGAAGCCGCUCGGCGGGCGCGGCGAGGAUGGUGUGUCACCUUUGCCGAGUCCGACCUCUGCUCAGAGCCCCAGACGGGGUGCUGCUGGAGUUGAUCGCGGUCAUAGAGGAUCCUCUGGUGUACCACCUCCUGUGAAGUCGAAGGCGCUGGUCAGCGCUGGCAAUGCGAACCCGCCAUCGUCGGCACCGGGGGAGCUGGCAGACAUCCCACGCACCGCAGCGCACUCUACGAGAGCGCAGGCGAGCCCUUGUACACCAGUGAAGGAGGCGCUUCGUGCACUGCGUCGCAGCAAGGUGCAGGCAGGCGCACCGGCACCUCCACCCUCAUCCGCGAUGGCGGCUGGGAUGAAGGAUCUGCCGGCGAUCAUCACCUCUCCUGAGCACGAGCGUGGGGCGCGUCGCAACCAUCCACGAUACCGAUUGGAAGAAGCCGCCUUGUACCGUGGUAUGAGGCGUGAGCAACCCUCUCGUGAAGACGAACGGGUCUUGGUGGAUGAGCACCGCAAGCCGCACCACGCAGAGGUGUCCGCCGUGCCGAAUACGCUGGAGGCGCUGCGCAGUUUGCGUGCGCAGCAAGACAAGGCCAUGAGGGCGGAGGGCGGCGCCAGGGAGGAGGUCAAUCCUGGAGGGCAGCUUGCGCUACUGAAGCAGCGGCAGCGGAUGCAACAGCGACCACGGCAGGGGUCGACGUCUUCGUCUGCGUCGGUUCCGCUGGCGCCGCGGCUCAUGACACGAGCCACGGAGGCUGCGGCGUCUCCCAGGUCGGAGGUGCCUUCCGGCUAUGACAGGAAGACUCCGGUGCCUCGCGAUAACGCAGCAGCUCGACCUUCGGCGGCGCACGUGACAGCGCUUUCGUUGGGUGACGUUAACCGCGGCGCUGCUCCAUCGCGAGCAGCUCCGCCAUCGGCCCAUGCUGGUGCACCGCCGUCGCCCAACCCAUCAACCGGUGGCGGGGCCGGCGUUCAGAGCUCGAUGGAGGGGUAUGCGGAGAUGCUGCAGCACCUCAAAGACCUCCUUCAGCGCAGGCGCGUGAGCAGCGCCGGCGGUGCUAGCGCCCCUACCUCACCGACGACCGCUGCCUCGGCACCGUCUGCGAUAGAAAACCCACGUGACCCGGGGGCGCGGUCGCCGAUAUCGAUGCGGAACCGCGCGUUGCCUCCGCCACUGAAUCCGAGUCCGCUGGGCGGCGUUGACAUGAGUUGCGCGAGCGACAGCGGUGACUCCGGCGUUCUCGUGUCUCCGCCGCACCUUAAGGCGACGAGGCCGCUGCACCCUCAACCGAACGCUGUUCCCGUUGUGAACGUGCGCCCCGGCUGCGACGCGGAGGAGGAAGACGACGACGACUUCGAAGACGCUGUUCCGCUGUCGCCAGUGCGAUGUACUGAGCUCAACGACGCCUACGCCCGCCAGCAAGACCAGCAGGAACAGAAAUGGCGUCAUGCACAGGAGGACGUGUACACGAGCGACGUGGACUUGACAUCGGCGGCGAUGGAAGAGGAGCUGGAAGGCGAGGAAGGGUACACGGACUACCACAAACGGCCGUCUUCCAAAGAGCUGCCGAAGGGCAUCAAGUCCUGACAACUGACUCUGUUGGGCAUUUCUUUUUUUUUUUUUGAAGAGGGGAGGGGCACGCGCAGUGCCUUGUAUGGCAGUGCCGGUCUUCGGCUUUGGAAGACAGAGACUGAGGAUGGAGACGGAGAGGAGAAAAGCAGCAUUGUGCUACGCCUCCGCUUCUCUUUUUGGCGUUGACUUUAUCCUCCCCACACCCACCCUUGUGCGCGUGUUCGGCGUGCAUGCCGGCAUACCCCCUCCUCUUCCCCGGCUGAUGCUACCUUGUACGAUUGAUUGCCCGCGCUUUUGUCUCUGCCAUACAGAGCGGGAACGGAGGCGGCGCCGUGCUACUCUUUUAGUUCUUCGCACCUCGUUGUACCGUUGAUGUAGAGCGCAUUUCGCUCGCCGUGCUGCUGUUGCCCUUCUCUUUGUUCUUGCCGUGCAGCGCUGGACUCUCUCUCUCUAUGCGGCUCUGCGGCGGCGCUGUUUGGCAUAGACGUGCGUGUCUGUGAUGGCCGCCGCCUUCAUUGCCGUCUCUGGUUCGCUUGCACGCUGCGUCUGCCACCUUGCUUUUCUUUUGCGUUUCCUUCUUUUUCUGUCGCGCUUCCGUAGUUCACUGCUGUUGUUUGUGUCUUCCAUCCUUCCCUUGCUCACCUCGUGGUAUGUACAGUUGAUACGCAUCGCCGCCACAACGCACCGUUCAGCCCAUAUAUCAUGGGUGCGUGUGCCGAGAGCGCGUAUCGUUUUUUUUUUUUUCGUUCUCGUCGGUUCGUGUUGUCUUCCUGGCUGGCCAGAUGUGGACAGUGUGCGCUUCCACGCGCUCUGCCUCUUCCUUUGUUUUGUGUGUGUGUGCGUAUUCACCCCGGUGCACUGAAAUCGCGUUGUCUCGCCCGUCACUCCCCUUCUUUGUUGUGGUGCGUCGUGACCUUCUUGGCACCUCCUCCAACCACCGUUCAUGAGUGCGCCAGCGAGAAGCGAGCACAACAGCACGUACAUACAGAAAUGUGAAAGCACACACAUACGCACGCACGCACGCACACAGGGACAUGCACAUG